rnacentral:rRNA from 1 species
GACGAACGCUGGCGGCGUGCUUAACACAUGCAAGUCGAACGGAAAGGCCUCUUUCGGGGGUUACUCGAGUGGCGAACGGGUGAGUAACACGUGAGUAACCUGCCCUUGACUUUGGGAUAACUUCAGGAAACUGGGGCUAAUACCGGAUAGGAGCUCCUGCUGCAUGGUGGGGGUUGGAAAGUUUCGGCGGUUGGGGAUGGACUCGCGGCUUAUCAGCUUGUUGGUGGGGUAGUGGCUUACCAAGGCUUUGACGGGUAGCCGGCCUGAGAGGGUGACCGGCCACAUUGGGACUGAGAUACGGCCCAGACUCCUACGGGAGGCAGCAGUGGGGAAUAUUGCACAAUGGGUGGAAGCCUGAUGCAGCAACGCCGUGUGCGGGAUGACGGCCUUCGGGUUGUAAACCGCUUUCGCUCAUGACGAAGCUUUGUGUGACGGUAGUGGGUAAAGAAGCACCGGCUAACUACGUG